CACACCGUUCCCGACCAACCACAUCCUGCCAUUCCACCCACGGUGAACCCAGCUCCAAGUACUGCUUCUAUCUUCCCCUUGUUCCGUGCACUCCAGCUCCAUACCACCUGUUCUGUGGUUUCCUAGUGUACCUAGGACGUGACUAUGGGAGGUGGCAUGUAGUAGGCACCAGGCUGAAAAUCUAUGAAGCACAAGAAAAGUACAGAUUCCUCCCCAAACAUAGUGUGAACACACAGUCAGAAAAAGAGCAGGGCAGAAUAAAGAAAUCAUACCCCAGCUUCACACAGAG
ensembl:lncRNA